rnacentral:tRNA from 1 species
GCCCGGCUAGCUCAAUCGGCAGAGCGUGAGACUCUUAAUCUCAAGGUUGCGGGUUCGACCCCCGCGUUUGGCU